rnacentral:rRNA from 1 species
GGAGGAGGCUAGCGUUGUUCGGAAUUACUGGGCGUAAAGCGCGCGCAGGCGGCUUAGCAAGUCAGGGGUGAAAGCCCGGGGCUCAACCUCGGAACUGCCUUUGAGACUGCUAGGCUCGAGACCGGGAGAGGAGAGUGGAAUUCCCAGUGUAGAGGUGAAAUUCGUAGAUAUUGGGAAGAACACCAGUGGCGAAGGCGGCUCUCUGGCCCGGACCUGACGCUGAGGCGCGAAAGCGUGGGGAGCAAACAGGAUUAGAUACCCUGGUAGUCCACGCUGUAAACGAUGAGUGCUAGACGUUGGGGGGCUUGCCCCUCGGUGUCGCAGCUAACGCUUUAAGCACUCCGCCUGGGGAGUACGGCCGCAAGGUUAAA